rnacentral:lncRNA from 1 species
AAUAGGUUAGAUAUUUAUUUUUCUGUUUAAUUUCAAAAAAUUAUACAUAUUUGUUUUUAGUUAGGAACGAGUAUCGAAAAGUAAUGUAAAUAUAUCAAAUAGCAAAUAUAUUACUACAAAGUUCAACUUUUUAUAUUUAUCUCUACAAAAUAUACUAAUUUUUUCAAAUAUAUCCCCGCUUUGAUCCGUUAGGCUUCAUGUGGGAUUGCGGGGAAAUUGCGUUAUGUGCGGUAAGAAAUAACGAUAGAAAAAAUACCUUAUUUGUUUCCAUAUGUAAUAUUGCGUUCCGCAUAUUGCGGUUAGUCGGUUACGAUAUAUUUUCUGCGGUCCCAUCGAAGAAUGUAGAAGCAUAUAUAUCCCUAUAUAUUUUUUCUCAACUCCAUUCUAUCUAAUAGUAUUAGAUCCACCUCAAUACCAAACUAAGCCAUAGUUAACUAUAAGUAAAAUAUUUAAUCCUAGUUUAGUGAAUGAGGUAAAUUGAUUUUUUUACUUCUUUUAUAUUAUUUGUGAUGGUAUAAAAGAAAAAAUGACUAUUGAAAAUAUUUUGGAUGAUAUUUCUGUAUAAUUCUAACAUGUGGGGUUUUUGGAGAGACAUAUUUUGUGAGAUCUCAUGAUAGUCUUAUAUAUAAGAUAUAUAAUAGGGCUAAAACUCUUAACACAGUUUAAACAUUUUGGCGAUGGCUGGGCCCAAGAGGUUAAUGUUAUAAUGGAUGACCCCCUGAAAAGUUGGGAUGACGACAAAAAUGUUAUUUCACUUAUCUUCUGUUAAAAAAUAAACAGUGUUCUAAUAAUAACAAAUCAGAAGGAUAAAUAUAAAUAUUACUAGACUUAAAAGAGAUAAAAAUAAAAAGUUAAACUUUAUAGGAAUAUAUAUUUACUACACGAUCGAUAUGUUUACAAGGAGCUAUCUAAAAUCAACCCUAAAUAAAAAGAAGUACCGAAAAAUUUGUAAUAUUUUAUGAUCUCAAGCUAUAAAUAUAUAUAUAUUUUUUUGAGAAAUAGAUAGCACGCUAUCCGCUUUGUUUAUUUUAUUUAGAAAUAAAUUUAGCUGAAAAUAUAAAUCAACUAGGAUUCGAACUUGGGUCUCAGGUACCAACUACUAAAUCCUUUGCCACUUGCUCUGGGACUGUCUGUACUAUAAAUUUAUUAUUUGAAUUGGUCGAAGUUUGGAUGAUUUGGGGAUGU